GAGUUUGAUCAUGGCUCAGAUUGAACGCUGGCGGCAGGCCUAACACAUGCAAGUCGAGCGGUAGAGAGAAGCUUGCUUCUCUUGAGAGCGGCGGACGGGUGAGUAAUGCCUAGGAAUCUGCCUGGUAGUGGGGGAUAACGCUCGGAAACGGACGCUAAUACCGCAUACGUCCUACGGGAGAAAGCAGGGGACCUUCGGGCCUUGCGCUAUCAGAUGAGCCUAGGUCGGAUUAGCUAGUUGGUGAGGUAAUGGCUCACCAAGGCGACGAUCCGUAACUGGUCUGAGAGGAUGAUCAGUCACACUGGAACUGAGACACGGUCCAGACUCCUACGGGAGGCAGCAGUGGGGAAUAUUGGACAAUGGGCGAAAGCCUGAUCCAGCCAUGCCGCGUGUGUGAAGAAGGUCUUCGGAUUGUAAAGCACUUUAAGUUGGGAGGAAGGGCAGUAAAUUAAUACUUU
rnacentral:rRNA from 1 species